rnacentral:rRNA from 1 species
UACGUAGGGUGCAAGCGUUAUCCGGAUUUAUUGGGCGUAAAGGGCUCGUAGGCGGUUCGUCGCGUCCGGUGUGAAAGUCCAUCGCUUAACGGUGGAUCCGCGCCGGGUACGGGCGGGCUUGAGUGCGGUAGGGGAGACUGGAAUUCCCGGUGUAACGGUGGAAUGUGUAGAUAUCGGGAAGAACACCAAUGGCGAAGGCAGGUCUCUGGGCCGUUACUGACGCUGAGGAGCGAAAGCGUGGGUAUCGGAACAGG